rnacentral:rRNA from 1 species
GACGAACGCUGGCGGCGUGCUUAACACAUGCAAGUCGAACGGUGAAGCGCCUUCCUUUUUGGUGGGUGUGGAUGAGUGGCGAACGGGUGAGUAACACGUGAGUAACCUGCCCCCUUCUUCUGGAUAACCGCAUGAAAGUGUGGCUAAUACGGGAUAUUCUGGGUCUGUCGCAUGAUGGGUCUGGGAAAGAUAUUGUUUCGGUGGGGGAUGGGCUCGCGGCCUAUCAGCUUGUUGGUGGGGUGAUGGCCUACCAAGGCGGUGACGGGUAGCCGGCCUGAGUGGGUGGACGGUCACACUGGGACUGAGACACGGCCCAGACUCCUACGGGAGGCAGCAGUGGGGAAUAUUGCACAAUGGGCGCAAGCCUGAUGCAGCGACGCCGCGUGAGGGAUGGAGGCCUUCGGGUUGUGAACCUCUUUCGCCAGUGAAGCAGGCCUGCCUCGUUUGUGGGUGGGUUGACGGUAGCUGGAUAAGAAGCGCCGGCUAACUACGUG